rnacentral:rRNA from 1 species
AUAAAUUAAUUAAGAUUAUUUAUUAAAAUUAAAAUUAAUUUAUUUAUUCUAUUGGGGUGAUAGAAAAAUAUAUUUAACUUUUUUUUUAUGAAAACAUUUAUAAGUGAUUAAAUGAUCCAUUAUUAAUGAUUAUAAGAAAAAAUUACCUUAGGGAUAACAGCGUAAUUUUUUUUUUUAGUUCACA